UCCAGCAUUCCCCAGCCAUCUAAUAGCAGCAAAUUGACUGUGGGUCUCUUGUAAGAAUAUCUAAAUGUAGGCUGUUGAAUAAUCCCUUUGGGGGCCCUGUAACUAUUUUUGUGCCUGGAUAUGCGUCAUCAGUGGGUAUUUUCUCUGGUGACUAGCUUACAUCAGUAGGUCUCCUACCAUACAUUCUACCAGCGAGUGACUUAUGAUUGAUGGGAGUCACGGCUGCUGUUUAGCUUUUAUCUAUGACCUCAAAUAAUGGACAACAGGAAUUUCCAGGCUGUUAAAUUCUUUGAAUGACUGAAGAUACGGGAUUGCUGUGCUGAUAAACGCAGUCCCUUUGAUACAGCUGUGAUAGAAAAUACAAGAUCAGCUCUUUCUGAACUCUAGCUCAGAAGUCUCUCAAGUACUUCUCCUGGCAACCAGGGAAUAAAAAUGAAAGACAUGGAUGUCAGGGACUGUCUACUUAAGAAGCUCAGAGUGAGUUAGAAACAUUGAUGAAGCCUCUAUUCUGUGAGGUGGAGGAGUGUGUGAACAGCCAUAUUCGCUGGAGUAGUGAACCAACUUGCCUUGACUGGAACCAUUAUUCACUUGCACCUUUGACAUCAGCAGCCAGGUAGGGGAAGAGAAGAAAAAUGUGUUUUGAAUGAACUGAGGUAGCAGGCCUGGAUGAAUAUUUUUUUCAU
rnacentral:lncRNA from 1 species